rnacentral:rRNA from 1 species
CCCUUAGAUGUUCUGGGCUGCACGCGCGCUACACUGAAGCUAUCAACACGUUUUCCCUCCCUGAGAAGGGCGGGUAACCUUUUGAAUCAGCUUCGCGGUAGGGAUCGGGGCUUGCAAUUGUUCCCCGUGAACCAGGAAUUCCUAGUAGACGCGAGUCAUAAGCUCGCACCGAUUAAGUCCCUGCCCUUUGUACACACCGCCCGUCGCUACUACCGAUUGAACGUUUUAGUGAGGCAUUUGGACCGACGCAUCUCAGUUUAACCGCUGGUUUGUGUUGGAAAGACUUCCAAACUUGAGCGUUUAGAGGAAGUAAAAGUCGUAACA